rnacentral:tRNA from 1 species
GGAGGGAUGGCCGAGCGGUUAAGGCGCUACGUUAAGGCUCAGCCUUAUGCAUAUAUCCGUAGUUCGAAAGGUACGUCUGCUUAAACGUCAUACCAAGGGAAUUUGUCUAACAAUCUACAGAGCGUGGGUUCGAGUCCCACUCCCUUCA